GAUGAACGCUGGCGGCGUGCCUAAUACAUGCAAGUCGAGCGAACAGACGAGGAGCUUGCUCCUCUGACGUUUGCGGCGGACGGGUGAGUAACACGUGGAUAACCUACCUAUAAGACUGGGAUAACUUCGGGAAUCCGGAGCUAAUACCGGAUAAUAUAUUGAACCGCAUGGUUCAAUAGUGAAAGACGGUUUUGCUGUCACUUAUAGAUGGAUCCGCGCCGCAUUAUCUAGUUGGUAAGGUAACGGCUUACCAAGGCGACGAUGCGUAGCCGACCUGAGAGGGUGAUCGGCCACACUGGAACUGAGACACGGUCCAGACUCCUACGGGAGGCAGCAGUAGGGAAUCUUCCGCAAUGGGCGAAAGCCUGACGGAGCAACGCCGCGUGAGUGAUGAAGGUCUACGGAUCGUAAAACUCUGUUAUUAGGGAAGAACAAAUGUGUAAGUAACGAUGCACGUCUUGACGGUACCUAAUCAGAAAGCCACGGCUAACUACGUG
rnacentral:rRNA from 1 species